UCUUUUGAACAGUAGUCCUUUCCAUCUCAAAGAGGAACUGUCUUGUAUCUUUCUUUAGAUUCAAGAAACUCGAUGAAACCAUCAGCUUGGCCAAGCUUAAUCUUUCUUCCUUAUUUGUGAUAGAAGACACUUGUAGGUCUUCUGAAACCACACCAAUAAAGUUGAGCGGAAAAAGGUAAAAAAGAAACCUAUAUCAUCUCGCACAAUAGCCAAGCACUAGCAGUUAAAAAAUGCAUUAAUUUGAAUGCUUUGGACGUCGAAAUACAGGUGGAAAGGGCUUUGGCAGUGGUGCCUUUCCUCAUUCUAUAAUAUUGGACACAGUUUUAAUAGCAUCUGUGUAGGUGAAAGCCACUGCGAGUGUGAGUCAAAAUAACGAGAAAAUAAGGUUCGUGAAUAUCGUGGAUGACAAGGCACGUGAUUGCAGAUCAGGGAAUCUUAAGAAGCCGGUUCCCGAGACUUUUUCGUGAUAGGGGCAAAGAAACAGGAGCUGACAGGUUGAAGGUCAUUCACCGUUCUCAUUUCACUUCAAGCGAUGGGUUCAUGAGGAUCACUAAUUUGGAGAACUAGAUCACAUUUUUUAUGUAUUAAUGAGAUUUUGUACUUGUUUGAAGAUCAUGAGAAAUUUAGUUAAGUUUCUACAGAAACUGUGAUAAUGAUCAAAUCUUAUUAACUUAAAUCAAAGGCCACCAAUCGCACCUUCAAAAUGAA